rnacentral:misc_RNA from 1 species
AACCUUAUGGACCUGCGGGCGUAUACCUGCGGAAGGAUCAUUACAGAGUUAUCCAACUCCCAAACCCAUGUGAACUUAUCUCUUUGUUGCCUCGGCGCAAGCUACCCGGGACCCCGCGCCCCGGGCGGCCCGCCGGCGGACAAACCAAAACUCUUGUUAUCUUAGUUGAUUCUCUGAGCGUCUUAUUUAAUAAGUCAAAACUUUUAACAAUGGAUCU